AAUCAUCGCCUUGGAAGCUUCAUCACGAUACUACUUUGCAUUUCUGAAGAGGGAAGAAGAAAUCAAUAUGCAAAUUCAAUUCCAUGGUUUUGGAAGUCCCAUUGAGAACACGAUUCAUUUGCGCCAGCACAAUGCUCUGACCGAGAAAGAAUUGAAGUUUCCACUUGGAAGAAAGAUUCACAUCAAAUUGACUGGUCAAGGAAAUGGGACACUGACUAACCAUACGAUUAGACUGUUUUGAUGAGGAAUUUAAAGAUUAUGUGUCCCAUCCGUUUGACUCACCGUUUGGUACCAUAGGUUGGUACGAUCUUCGUUCGAGAAGAAAAAGGGAUGUUCCAGACACAGAAAAUCGUCAAACCAUUUACUACAAAGUCCGUUUCUGGGUGGAGUUAGUGGAACCGAAAAAGAUGUCUCCCUCACAGCGUUUGUGACAAAAGAAUUGCAUCGUUCCUUGGCGGCCUUUCAACAGAAGAAUAUUCAGAGAUUUCCCGAGUGAUGAGGGCGUCACCGGUCAGGCAGCAUUUAUUGCCCAUCCCUUAUUGCCCGGAGGGCAGUUAAGAGUCAACCACAUUGCUGUGGGUCUGGAGUCACAUGUAGGGCAGACCAGUGAAAGGCUGCCACACUAAAUUGAAGAAAAAUUGAUAAUCAAGUCAGAUUUCAUUCUCGGAUGUGGCCUGGCUUGUAACAACAGCAGCUGGAAUCAUAGCACCAGCAAAAGAAGAAUAAAUGAAAAAACUUUGUUGGGAGCAGACUGUAUAGUUUUCGACAUUGUAGAAGAGAAAGAGGACUAACAGAGGUGCUUCUGAUCCGGAAGGGAAACAACCAAUGAUUCUGUUGUGCACAUUAUUUGCCCAAAGACAAGCAUUGAAUACAAGUUAAUUGUGCCCUUGGACACAGCACUGUUUUAGUAGGAUAUGAAAUUUCACUUUAGAAUCCAUUUUCACUCGCAAAUAUUGAUGGGGAGCACUAUUUAAUAAAGUGAAUUUCUUCAACAUCUUCAGAGCUGCAUGUUUAUCAUUCGUAUACAUGGGAAAUCUCAAAUUCAUUUUGCAGUUACAUGAAAAUAAUGUACAAGGAAAGGAAUUUAAACUCAGUAUUUUGCACUUCAAUUGAGCACAGGCCUUACUCAUAAAAAUCUCAUCUCCUGAAUCCCUCUCCAGAAUUGAUUAACAAUGGAUACUAUAUUCAUUACAGACAGUAUAGGAGAUUUUCCGUGUUGUAGCCCAUUCCGAAAUCUAGGCAAAGCUUCUUGGCGCCUCGCUGCAGGAGUUAAAGAUCUGGGGAAAUUGCUACAUCUUACAUCCCUGCCUAGGGGAUGCUUCAACAUCAUUUCCUAAGAUAACCACAUGUCCAUAUACAUGUUUUCAUAUUGGGGAGGUCUAAACAGGACACAAACACCUCCAAGGGUAUGCCAGCUGACGCCUACAUUGAAAGCGUAAUACUGAGAAUGCUGGAAAUCUGAAAUAACAGCAAGCUCUGGAGAAACUCAACAGGCCUGGCAGAAUUUAUGGAGAGAAAAAGGCCGAAUUUUACUGUCAGCUAUACAUCAGUGACUAAUACUAUUUAUUUCAGAGGAAAGGUGACCGGACCUGAAGCCUUAACUUUGAUUUCUCUUCACAAAUGCUGCCCAGACCGGCUGAGCUUUUUCAGCAACUUCUGUUUUUUGUCUCUUAUUUACAGCAUCCACAGUUCUUUUGGUUUUUAACACUAUUUAUUUCUUGAGUUGUAAGGUUUUUGGAUUUAAGUUCUUGCCCACUGAGGUGAAAGCUAUAUCUAGCCCAUGUAGUAUGGUAGUAAAGGGAUGGUGCACUGACUGUGGGGCUGCCUUAUGGAUGUGUGGUUAAACAUUAAACAUUCAGUAGGCAUUCCACAGCAGUAACACUGAUCAUAUUGUAGUAUUCCUCAGAGAGUUUCAUGACUGAUUCACUGAGAAGCAAUCUUGGCUGAGGUUUCAGAAUAAAGCAACAUGUUGCCUUCGGCUGUAUUGGAAAGCUGCUGGUAAUGGAACUGUUGAAAGCAUUCACACCUUUUCUGGAUCCAUCUUUUAUUCCUGUACUUAUCUCAUUGCUACACUUUUUGCGCUUUACAAAAGCAUUUCCUUUGUCAUUUAAAACAAUGCAGUCUCUGUCUCUGCAACUUCUAUCUCUUGUUUAGAACAGUUAAAGUAUUUUGUUAGAAUUCUGCAGACUAUGAAAAUACUGAGGAAGGCUAAGCUUUAAGUUUGAGAGUAGUCAAGGGGAAAGU